UCUCUGUUUUACCAAGUAUUUGUUGUUUCACCAGUAUCAUUUGAAUGAAUAUACUUAGGUGUCCAUUUGAAUGCCUGCUGGUAAGGUGAAUGACUAGUGUUUUAUUUGUUGUUUCACCAGUAUAAUUUGAAUGAAUAUACUUAGGUGUCCAUUUGAAUGCCUGCUGGUAAGGUGAAUGACUAGUGUUUUAUUUGUUUUUUCACCAGUAUAAUUUGAAUGAAUAUACUUAGGUGUCCAUUUUAAUGCCUGCUGGUAAGGUGAAUGACUAGUGUUUUAUUUGUUUUUUUCACCAGUAUAAUUUGAAUGAAUAUACUUAGGUGUCCAUUUGAAUGCCUGGUGGUAAGGUGAAUGACUAGGGUUUUAUUCGUUGUUUCGCCAGUAUCAUUUGAAUGAAUUUACUUAGGUGUCCAUUUGAAUGCCUGCUGGUAAGGUGAAUGACUUGUGUUUUACUGGUUGCAUUUGGGUGCCACUCUGUGGGAUCCGCCUGGCAGCAGAGUUGGCAUUCUGCCUGUGUGAGGGUAGGAUUUCAUUAGGGCAGUCGAAGGACAACACCAGUCUUCCCCAGACCUGUCUCACUGUACACAGUGCAUAGGGCAUGUGUGU
ensembl:lncRNA